rnacentral:rRNA from 1 species
CACGUAGGGGCCAAGCGUUGUCCGGAUUUAUUGGGCGUAAAGAGCUCGUAGGCGGUUCGACAAGUCGGGUGUGAAAACUCCGGGCUCAACCCGGAGACGCCACCCGAUACUGUCGUGACUGGAGUCCGGUAGGGGAGUGUGGAAUUCCUGGUGUAGCGGUGAAAUGCGCAGAUAUCAGGAGGAACACCGGCGGCGAAGGCGGCACUCUGGGCCGGUACUGACGCUGAGGAGCGAAAGCGUGGGUAGUAAACAGG